rnacentral:rRNA from 1 species
GGACUGCAGUCUGCAACUCGACUGCACGAAGCUGGAAUCGCUAGUAAUCGCGGAUCAGCACGCCGCGGUGAAUACGUUCCCGGGCCUUGUACACACCGCCCGUCACACCAUGGAAGUCUGCAAUGCCCGAAGCCGGUGGCCUAACCACUUAUGUGGAAGGAGCCGUCUAAGGCAGGGCAGAUGACUGGGGGUGAAGUCGUAACAAGGUAUC